AUUGAACGCUGGCGGCAUGCCUUACACAUGCAAGUCGAACGGCAGCACGGGGGCAACCCUGGUGGCGAGUGGCGAACGGGUGAGCAAUGCAUCGGAACGUACCCAGUCGUGGGGGACAACCCCGAGAAAUCGGGGCUAAUACCGCAUACGACCUGCGGGUGAAAGCGGGGGACCUGAUGAGGGCCUCGCGCGAUUGGAGCGGCCGAUGCCGGAUUAGCUAGUUGGUGGGGUAAGAGCCUACCAAGGCGACGAUCCGUAGCGGGUCUGAGAGGACGGC
rnacentral:rRNA from 1 species